AAUUCCAAGCUUCACAUCGACACCCAACAGAACUAGCGGUUCUGAUACAGUGGCAUCGUCAUGCUCACAACCACCCAUCUUAUUUGUAUCCGUGGAGGGUUCAGACCAGAUGAAGGCUCAUGGAGUGAAACCUCCAUGCACUGCUCAGGUGUUACGUCCUGCUGGGAGGAUUUCAGGCAGGGCUCUUUAUGGCUGCUGAAGGAGGCUGUAGUCCGAGUCCUCCAUCAGCUCCAGACAGCACAGCAACAUUCCGGGCAGGUUGGAACAAUGUCCUCCUCUUCUGUGAAACUGGGUGGAUGAAUGCAGAACUGGCUUCUGUCUGACUUGCAUCUUGUUUGUUUACUCAUUGCACCAAUCAAUGUAUUUUACCCUAUGUAGAUCUUGACAUUGGUUUGUAGCUCAAAUCUGGCUUUAGUGGAUACUAUCAUAGAUGUAAUCUAUGUUCUUAGUGCUUAUAUGUUAUGUUAUUCUAGGUAGCUUGCCUUGUUUUGUCCCAAGAAUUUCAGUGCCCGUCUGACCUUGUGUUGUUCUGUGCACCUGACAAUAAAACUUGAAACUUCUAUAUGCAAACGAC